rnacentral:rRNA from 1 species
AUUGAACGCUGGCGGCAUGCCUUACACAUGCAAGUCGAACGGCAGCACGAAGCUUGCUCUGGUGGCGAGUGGCGAACGGGUGAGUAAUAUAUCGGAACGUACCCAAGAGUGGGGGAUAACGUAGCGAAAGUUACGCUAAUACCGCAUACGAUCUAAGGAUGAAAGUGGGGGAUCGCAAGACCUCAUGCUCCUGGAGCGGCCGAUAUCUGAUUAGCUAGUUGGUGAGGUAAAGGCUCACCAAGGCAUCGAUCAGUAGCUGGUCUGAGAGGACGACCAGCCACACUGGAACUGAGACACGGUCCAGACUCCUACGGGAGGCAGCAGUGGGGAAUCUUGGACAAUGGGGGCAACCCUGAUCCAGCAAUGCCGCGUGAGUGAAGAAGGCCUUCGGGUUGUAAAGCUCUUUUGUCAGGGAAGAAACGGUGAAGGCUAAUAUCCUUUGCUAAUGACGGUACCUGAAGAAUAAGCACCGGCUAACUACGUGCCAGCCGCCGCAGUAAAAC